GAUGAACGCUGGCGGCGUGCCUAAUACAUGCAAGUCGAGCGAACAGACGAGGAGCUUGCUCCUCUGACGUUAGCGGCGGACGGGUGAGUAACACGUGGAUAACCUACCUAUAAGACUGGGAUAACUUCGGGAAACCGGAGCUAAUACCGGAUAAUAUAUUGAACCGCAUGGUUCAAUAGUGAAAGACGGUUUUGCUGUCACUUAUAGAUGGAUCCGCGCCGUAUUAGCUAGUUGGUAAGGUAACGGCUUACCAAGGCAACGAUGCGUAGCCGACCUGAGAGGGUGAUCGGCCACACUGGAACUGAGACACGGUCCAGACUCCUACGGGAGGCAGCAGUAGGGAAUCUUCCGCAAUGGGCGAAAGCCUGACGGAGCAACGCCGCGUGAGUGAUGAAGGUCUUCGGAUCGUAAAACUCUGUUAUUAGGGAAGAACAAAUGUGUAAGUAACUAUACACGUCUUGACGGUACCUAAUCAGAAAGCCACGGCUAACUACGUG
rnacentral:rRNA from 1 species